CAUGUGCAACUGCCAAUUACUGGUGGCCAGUGAAGCAAAGGUGAGACAAGUGUGUCAUGUGUGUAUUAUGUGGUUGAUCUGCCAAGUAAAGACAGCCUCAUUAUCCAACAGAAAAGACGACUGGCCCCAACAUAGAGCAAAAAACUUAAAAAAAAGAGUUAAUUUGCACUUUUAAUUCUUCUUCCUUCGUAUUCUCUCUUUCUGUCUCUUUCUUUCUCUAUUUAGGUGAGAAAGUGAGUGAAGGGUCCGGGGCCCCUCAAUAAGUGUCUGUGAUUGUGUCUGUGGCCUCUCUCUUUCAGCCAUGUCCAGCACCAUUAAUUGGAGCUGUUGUUGAACUGAACCUAUUCUCCCCAUGAGAGGUAAUUGCUUUGAGCUUUGGAGGGCCAAGUGUUGGUUUAAGGGCCCCUGACCUUUAACCUCCAGGCAAAGAAGCCCCCCUUUUCCUUUUUUCCCUCUGUAAAUAUCUUUCCUGCUGCUUCAGCCUUCUCAGUGAGUGAGUGUGAGUUUUGUCUGCUUUGUUCUGUUGUGAGUGGAAGAGAAAAAAAUGGAACAAAACCUGAUCAAGGACAGCGGAAGUGAAUUCUCCUGCAGAAUGACUCUGCAGAAACCAGGCGCUCCAAAUUUCUUUAAAGACUCAAAGAAAAGUCCCACUGUGCUGUAUAGGGGACAUCCCUGGAAUUUAUACUGAUGCCACAUUUGCUGGGGUGUGGCAAACAGACCACAAUGACUUUCCUUUCAAAAUGGAGGAAAUCCCCACAUCCACAUUCUAUGGCAGAGUGGGAGGACUUAGUGAAUCACCUGCCGAACCUGAUGUCAAGAGGGAAGCGACCCUGGCGUCCUCUUUGGUGGUGGAAACAGGAAAGGAUGGGACUUUAUGAACAGUUGUUCAGCCUGCUGAACCUCCAGGGAGACCACAAAUGACAUUAUCCGCAAAACAGAGAGCAAGUGACCGCCCCCUGCAAAACAGAAAGCAGAGUUGUUCUUCACAAGCAUGCUGAAAUGUGGAGGUGCAAUGCUUAGAACUUAUCAAUGAAAGUCCUGCUAAAAUAUUUGUGUUCUCGGCACUUUUCCUUCGGGUGUAAACAUUACAGUCUGUGCUGCAGCCUUUUAUGACAACAUGUGUAGACAUCGUUAAUCAAAUGGUAAGAGAAAGGGUAGUGGUACACAGAGAUGGUCCUCUGCUGGGUUUAUAACAUACUUUACCUUGCAGUAGUAAAUGCCCAUGUUGUCUUCCAGAAGUGCACUGGCACGUUUGCAGAAGUUGGGAGAGGAGCCUCAAGCUGAGUUUGGGAUGACAGCCAUCAAGGCAGGUAGAACAAGGGGUUCAUCUAAGCCAUCAGGACUCAAGUGUGCAGCAAGCUCAAAAACUGAGGCAAGGUCAGGUGCAGAGAAGCUGCACUAAGACCUCAGACACAUACAGCAGAUGCACAAAAGCUAUGUGUGGGAGUUCUGCCUGGUGAAGAGGGGAUAUUUGCUAGUUAGGAGUUUUAUUAGCCUCAAUAUCAACUGUUAAAUUGAUUCUUGUUUUUAAAUCAGCCUUUAGCCUACUGCCUUUUAACAUCCAGUUUGUGUCCUCUGUUAUUAAUUUCAAACUUGUUGAUUGUAAUUUAUUAAACAUUAUUUAGUAAUGUGAAUAUUGGUGUUUAGAUUUAAUUUUUGUGAUAAAGGUGUCUGCUAUUAUAGAUGUUGAUGUGUAAUAUUAUAUAUUUCCUUGAUUUAUUGUUUGCAUUGCUGGGCAAAAUGUACUUGUUUUCUUUGUUGGUUUAAUGAUGAUGAUUGGUACAUGUAAAAGCUUAAU